rnacentral:lncRNA from 1 species
GAUCCAGAAACUCACUGAAUUUAAUCUAAGAUUGCUAACAAGAGUUUCCUGGGGCUUUGGAGGGGACCAUCAGGAGUGGUGCUGCUCCCGGAGAAAUAAGAAAACUGUGUCAGUCAGGGCUCAGCUUCAGCUUGAAGUGGCAGAAAUGCAGCUCACACUGGUGUAGGUCAGGGAAGUCCACAUGAAGCGGGGAGAGCAAGGUGUGACUGGGUCUCUGUGAGGCUGGAAUAGGGAGCGGGAGCUCAGCAUGGUGCUCUUGCGUCUUUCUCUGUGCAAACUUUGCUUCCUCCACUCACACUGGCUGAGCCUCACACUGACCACUGUGGACCCCAUUCCUCUGGCAUAACAGCUACGUGGGUAACAGACUCCAGCAUUCCCUCCAUGACGCCUGUUCACUGUCCUUGUAGAUUUCGAAAGGGCUAGAAGAGAAGAAUGUGAAUGUUCCCCGCAUAAAGGAAAGCAGGACAUUUUAAAAGCCCAGACCCCCUCCUUACAGAGCAAAUGUCCAGGCUUCGGAGGUCACUGUCACAUCCCAAGAACCCCCUUCACCAGGUGCCACUCUUGAGACUGGACUGAAGCCCCCUGGAGAGUUCCACUUGCCUUUGUCCUGCUGCCUGAGGUGAGGACAUGGACGGCCGGGUACAAGACGGGGCAGGCAACCUCGCAGUGGUGGUAACCCUGUGCAUGAACCCUGGGCCUGGCACGUGGACCUCCUGUGACCGUCCCCACAGGCCCGUGAGGCUGAGCUUGGCACUGCCCAAGACCACACAGUCCAUGCGCGGUGGAGCUGGGGUCCAGGCUGCCCACCAGGGCAGUGACUACAAUGGUGGCAGCAGGGGACGGUCACCGUCAUGAGCUCAAGCCAGGCGCUGCACUGACCUUGAGGGAGGGCUCCAUGCUUCCCCUUCCCACAGCUGCAGUGAGGCCUAGCAGAGCAGGGUCGGCUGCGGGCUUGAGUCCUGGGGUGCCCCUGGGCUGACGGGCCCUGCCUGACCUGCUCCUCCAGUGCCCCAGCCCUGCCCCACCCACGUCCCCUCCUCUCACUGCCCCCUGGCCCACUCCGCUGCGGUCUCAGUGCCUUCCCAGGCUGGGCAUCAUCUGAUGGGAGGAAAAUGAGGGCCCCAGACUCUGUGUCAUCCUGGCAGGACCCCUCCCCUCCCAUGGCUUUGAGCCCAUGAGAUGGCCUUGGACAAAGCGGCAAUGGGCCCUUCCUGAGACACAGUGCGGCCAUCUACUGGAAAACUGCCCAGUGUGACUCUGAUGACUGUGAUGUGAAUCCUACAGCAAAGUUGAGCAGUGCGCAACCUGGGCUACUGCACCUGGCAGCCCCGGCUCCUCCUCGUCUGCCUCUUCCUGCUCCUUCAUUCUCCCCCAGAGCUCUAAUUGUCACUGAGAUUUUAUGUUUCAUUUAACAAAUGACUGUCUCCCCGCUUGAACAGAACCUCCAUGGGGGGAGGGAAGAGUGUCUGUUGUAUAAAUAGUUGUAUUUCAGUGCAUAAAACAGUGCCUGCCUCAAAGGGAGGACUCAGUCAAUAUCUGUUGAAUGAAUGAAUGAAUAAUUGCCUGGGUCAACGAAUGAAUGGCUGAAUGAAUGAUUUCUCCUUUCCCUCGGCACUGUCUGGAGUCCCCAGGACAGGCAUGGGCAGCAGUCGCUGGUCUGUGGCCUGUCCCACUGGACUUGGGGUUCUCAUGCUUGGUCUGGGCGGAGAUCACCCACCAGGCUCCCAGGUCGAUCCUCUGCUCAUGGGAAGCUGCGUCCGGCCCAGCUGCCAGGAGCUCACUGCAGGGUGGAGGGAAGAGCAGGGACGAUCUGCGAGCGCCUGAACAGCGCACAAGAGCCGAGGAGCCGCUGCUUAAAAUGCAGGCGUUGAGAGGAGUUUCGCCUCCUUUUUUGAGUUGAAUAUGAGAUUUCCGAGCAGCCAUGACGAGUUGGGUUGGUGGAAGUGGGGAGUCCGUUCCUCAGUCAGAUGGAGGAGGGGGUCCCCUUGGAUCUCCUCUCGGGGCUCGAACCCUGAUACUUCAAGGUCUCUUCCCACCUGCCCUUGGUGGAUCUGGAAAGCUCCUGGGAACAGGGUGGGUCUUCCUUGUUUUAAAGGUUGUAAGUUGAGAGCACCUCACAUAACUGCCUGGGGCGGCUCUGACGGGCCUCAGUCUGCUUGUGAUGUCACACAGGAAGCCCCUGGGGACUGGGCCGCUCAAGUCCUCCUGGGUCAGACCAGAUCACUGGGCCUGUGGGUUCCGCAGUGAGUCCAGCAUCGUUUCCUGUGCAGUGACCCAGGCCGGGUCCCCAUGGGCUCUGACUAGGGGACAGUGGGACUCGGGGUUGGGGGGCCUGCUUGAGUCAUGGCUUCACUGUCCACUGUGACUGGGGACCCCCAGGGGGAUUUCUGGGGACGCAUUCACCUACUGCACUGGGGUUUCUCUUUCAGAACCACAACACCCUGGAAGGCAAGAAAUGGGGAGCUGCAUCUGCAUCCACAGGGUCCCACCAGCCUGGAACAUCCCCGCUGGUCUAGAAUCCCACCCCACACACCCCGCUGAUCCUGGGCCCGUCCCUGUGACCAGGAGACGGAGUCCAGGGACUCCCCAGGCCUGGGCCACGCGACUGCCCUAAGAGCCUGGCAUCAGGGAGCAGUGCUGUGUGCACCCCCAGGUCCACUGAGAGUAGGG